rnacentral:rRNA from 1 species
GAAAUAAAAAUAUUAUUUUAAAAUAUUUGUUUAAAAUUUAUUAAUAAAAAUAAUUUUAUUUAACGUUAUUUUUAGUAUAUUUUAUAGAAAAAAUUUUUUUUAAUUAUAGUUGAUUAGUAUUGUAAAAGAAUUAUGAAAUAUUUUUUUAUUAAUUAAAAGUAAAAUUUAUUUUUUGUACCUUGUGUAUCAGGGUUUAUUAAUUAAAUAUUAUAAAUUUUAAUUUUCCCGAUUUUAAGAGAGUUAAUAAAUUAUUUUUUUUACUGUGAAAAAAGUAUUUAUAAUUAUUUAUUAGUAAUGAAAUGUUAUUCGUUCUUAAAUAUAUCUGGUUUAUUUAGAAAUGAAUUUAAUUCAGAUAUUUUUAAUUUAAUUUAUUAAUUAUAUAAUAAGUUAAAUGAAAAUUUUAAUAAUUAAAGGGAUUAGCUUUUAAUUAAAAUUUUAAAAAUUAAUAUUUUUUAUAAAAAAUGUAGGUUUAGAAAUAUUCAUCAAUAAUAAUUUGUUAUAAUUAAUUUAUAUAUAAAUAUAAUUUUAUAUAAUUUUAAAUAUUUUAUAAAUAAGUAAUUUUUAAUUAAUCAAUAUUAGUUAUAAUGAUAAAAUUAGUAUAAUUUGUUAUUUAAAUAAUUUUAACUGAAAGAUUAUUUAAAGGAAUUCGGCAAAAAUUUUAUUCGCCUGUUUAACAAAAACAUGUCCCUUUGUGUGUAUAUAGGGUCUAACCUGCCCACUGAAAUUUUAAAUGGCCGCAGUAAUUUGACUGUGCAAAGGUAGCAUAAUCAUUAGUUUUUUAAUUAAAAGCUUGUAUGAAGGGUUGGACGAGAUAAAUUCUGUCUCUAUUUAAAUUAAUUUAGAAUUUAACUUUUAAGUCAAAAGGCUUAAAUUUUAUUAAAAGACGAGAAGACCCUAUAGAUCUUUAUAAUUUUUUUUAUAAUUUUAAUUAAGAAUAUUUUAUUUUUUAUAAAAGUAAUUAUUUUAUUGGGGUAAUAGAAAGAUUAAAUAAAUUCUUUUUUAAUGUGAACAUUUAUUUAUGGUUUAAUGAUCCAAUUUUAUUGAUUAUAAGAUUAAGUUACCUUAGGGAUAACAGCGUAAUUUUUUUAGAGAGUUCAUAUCGAUAAAAAAGUUUGCGACCUCGAUGUUGGAUUAAAAAUUAUAUUAGGCGUAGAAGUUUAAUAUUUUGGUCUGUUCGACCAUUAAAUUUUUACAUGAUCUGAGUUCAGACCGGUGUAAGCCAGGUCGGUUUCUAUCUUUAAUAAAUUAAAAUAUUUUAGUACGAAAGGACCAAGUAUUUAAUAUAUCUAUAUUUAUUUUUGAAUAUUAUUAUUACUUUGGCAGAAUAGUGUAAUGAAUUUAGAAUUCAUAAAUGUAAUUGAUUUAC